AGAAAACAGAUGCUGAACCAGAUGUUGAACCAGUAUGACGACAGGCCAGGGCCUCCUCAGAGCCUGCCACCGCAGAGCCUCCACCCCAAUGGGCACAGAUUACCCAAGGGGCAUUUGGAGAGAGAAGGUGCUGGGCAUCACAUGUCAUAAUGCUUCAGAAACUGCAUCCCAGCAAUUAUAUCACUAAAGCCAAAGCUCAUGCAGAGCCAUCUCCCCCCUGCUGCAGGGGUGCCUGAUGGGGAGGGGUUCUGGAGAGCCUGGAACUCCCUCACCAAGAAGAAAACAUGAGGAGGGGAGGGGCUGGGGCAGGGGAGUGACCAGGAAACUCCUCCCCUCCAGAGUCUGCCCCUGGGAGAAGAGGGCAGAGUGCCACCCGCAGACACCUCGCCUGCCCACUAGUGCCUGAGAGUGUCAAGUUGUCUCUUGCAGUGCAGACAAGCUGCACUGAAGCAUCCACACUCUCCUUAGCCAAGCUGAGGGCAGGGAAAGUGGGUGUCUCUGUGGCCAGGGCUAGAACCUUCUUCAGGGGGUGCUGAAGGGUAGCAGAACAUGCCACCCAAAAAUAUGCCACCUGGGCAUAAGGAUCAUUUUGAGCUAAAGGCAACAGAGACAAGAAAAGCUCUCUGCCCUCCCACUAUUUGCCUAAAAGCAGGAUAUAAAUUUACAAGGGUGUCCCUCCUCCCUUCUCAACCAGGAAGGACAAAGGUUGAUUACAGAACACAAUCUUAGCCCCCUAUCAGCCUGGAGAUGACACAGAGGAAUCUAUAUAACAAGCUUUGCUAACUAGCCUUUAUCUACCAUUAGUUUCCCAUGGAUUUAUCUUCCCACAAUUUGCCAUCCUCAGAGACUCCAGGUCCUUUUUCUUUGUCUCAUUGCUUCUUUUAAAUUGUAUGCUCUUGGUUGAAGAUGCUAUGUAAGCCAGACUUCUAAGCCACCUCUUUAAACUUUUCUCAUUUUCCCUGAGUAUCUCCCAUGAGCACAUUUUAUACAUGUUAAUAAAGUUUUGUUUGUUUUUCCUU